UUUUGCCUAAGGACCAGAAAGAAGACCAGUAACAAAGUAUGGAAUACAAAACUCAAGAGGUUUGAGGUUGACUGAGAAUGUCCAGCAGACAUUAAGCACAUGUCACUCAUCACAGGCCCAGAGUGUGGAAAUGUGUGAAAUCGACAUCGUAUACAAACCCACGGUUAAUGUAUUGCUGCAAUAGUCUCUACUCCUCUGCGAAGACUUUCCACAAGAUUUUGGAACUUGGCUUGAAGUUCUUCCACCACAC